GACGAACGCUGGCGGCGUGCUUAAUACAUGCAAGUCGAACGGAAAGGCCCUGCUUUUGUGGGGUGCUCGAGUGGCGAACGGGUGAGUAACACGUGAGUAACCUGUCCUUGACUUUGUGAUAACUUCAGGAAACUGGGGCUAAUACCGGAUAGGAGCUCUUGCUGCAUGGUGGGGGUUGGAAAGUUUCGGCGGUUGGGGAUGGAAUCGAGGCUUAUCCGCUUGUUUGUGGAGUAGUGGCUUACCAAGGCUUUGACGGGUAGCCGGCCUGAGAGGGUGACCGGCCACAUUGGGACUGAGAUACGGCCCAGACGCCUACGGGAGGCAGCAGGGGAGAAUAUUGCACAAUGGGCGGAAGCCUGAUGCAGCAACGCCGCGUGCGGAAUGACGGCCUUCGGGUUAUAAACCACUUUCGCCUGUGACGAAGCGUGAGUGACGGUAAUUGGUAAGAAAGCACCGGCUAACUACGUG
rnacentral:rRNA from 1 species